rnacentral:tRNA from 1 species
GGGAAUGUGGCUUAGUGGUAGAGUGCUUGCCUAGCAUGCAUGAAGCCCUGGGUUCGAUUCCUUAAUACCA